UUCUGUUUCUUGCGAAUGAAAAUUCGAACACUUCAAAUGAAUCUGUCAUUUUUUUGCGGAACUCUUCUUGAGUGUAUUGAAAACUAACUUGACUGAUUCAACACAGAUUGAAAAUGUAUUGCAAGAUGUACCCCACGAUGUUAUCAACUGGGGAAAUAUACGUUUUUCUGAUAAAAAUUAUUUUGGAAGGUAUAAAUAAGCUAAGUCCUCAACGUCGGCUGGAACAGAUGGUAUCCCUUCUGUUGUAUUUAAAAAGUGUGCGGGCAUAUUGUGCAUACCCUAGAAACUAUUUUUCAACGAAUCGUUGUCACGAUCAGUAUUUUCUACACGCUGGAAAAAAUCAGUUAUGUUUACUGUGUACAAAAGGGAGUUAAGUGAAAUGUUACAAACUAUCGUGGUAUAACCUCUCUUUGUGUACACUGAGAAAAGAAUCAUAGUAACCGCAACCUGUUUUUCAUUGUCAUUUCUACUAUACGCUAAAAUAGUAGCAAAGAGCAUGAUACAUGACUAUUCACCAUCUGUAUUGUAUAAAUUACUAGACAACAAAGACUACGACUUGACUAAACUAUUUGUAUUUAUGACUUUUCUGGCAUGGUCAUACUGACAAUGGUAGUCAUCUCAAAUAUAAGAACAAAUAGUUAAACUCACAAUUUCUAGUAAGGUGAAAUUGCUCUUGAGCCUUGAUAUAUGAGAAGCGAAAUAGUUAUUGCUACCAUGUGAAUAUGUUCACAGUAUAAUAAUGUUACCAUAAAUAGAUACAUGGUUUGAUAGACGAUUAUGAAGUUUGAAAACACUAUUCAUGUAGUCCAUAUCAACAGAAUUUAUGUAGUAAUCACAUUAUCGUGUAUUUUUUGUUUUUUAGCCGACUAUGUAUUUCAUUUGUGCUGACUAUACAAAUUGUCAAUAAACGAACGUUCUAUGUCAUUGUCACAUAAAGUUACAAUAUAACAGAAAAUUUCGUACGUGGGUAACACAUCAGUGAUUGAUAUGAAAAAAAUAUUUUAUAUGAUGACUUUGUGUAAUUUGGUAGGUCUUGCAGGGCUACGUUUUCCAGUGAAAUCAACGUCUCGUGUACGAUUUAUUAUUCAUUAUCGGUCGCUGUAGAAAUAACAUCCAACAUAUCGCAGGAAAAAAAUCCACCGGACAUCAGAGCCUUUGAUCAACUGCUGCUACCAAACAAUGCUCCUCAGUGUCCACGUUGCUAUUCAACAUUUCACUAGGCAUGUCAUCAUUUAAUAUGAUGUGAAAAUAAAAUAAA